rnacentral:rRNA from 1 species
UGGCGGACGGGUGAGUAAUAUAUCGGAACGUACCCUGGAGUGGGGGAUAACGUAGCGAAAGUUACGCUAAUACCGCAUACGAUCUAAGGAUGAAAGUGGGUGAUCGCAAGACCUCAUGCUCGUGGAGCGGCCGAUAUCUGAUUAGCUAGUUGGUAGGGUAAAAGCCUACCAAGGCAUCGAUCAGUAGCUGGUCUGAGAGGACGACCAGCCACACUGGAACUGAGACACGGUCCAGACUCCUACGGGAGGCAGCAGUGGGGAAUUUUGGACAAUGGGCGAAAGCCUGAUCCAGCAAUGCCGCGUGAGUGAAGAAGGCCUUCGGGUUGUAAAGCUCUUUUGUCAGGGAAGAAACGGUGAGAGCUAAUAUCUCUUGCUAAUGACGGUACCUGAAGAAUAAGCACCGGCUAACUACGUGCCAGCAGCCGCGGUAAU